CCUGUUUAUCAAAAACAUAACCACAUGUAAUUACGUGUGGCUUUUUCUGCUCAAUGAUAUUUAAAUAGCCGCAGUACUCUGACUGUGCAAAGGUAGCAUAAUAAUUUGGCUUAUAAUUGAAGUCUGGUAUGAACGAAUAAAUGGGGAAUAACUGUGUCCGCGGUGUUGUGUGAAUUUGCUAAUUACGUGAAAAUACGUAUAAUUAAAUAAUAGACGAGAAGACCCUAGAAAUUUUGAGGAUAUUUCGCUUACUCUUUUUGCUGGGGCGGCAUAGUAACAAUUAACUUGCAUUACUUGACCCGAAGUAAAUUCGCUGACAGAUUAAAUUACUCUAGGGAUAACAGCAUAAUUUACUAUAGUUUGUGACCUCGAUGUUGGAUUAGGAAGUUGAAGUCUAGAAGAUUUACAAAAUAGCUCUGUUCGAGCAAUUUCUCCUACGUGAUCUGAGUUCAGACC
rnacentral:rRNA from 1 species